UGGGGAAUAUUGGACAAUGGGGGCAACCCUGAUCCAGCAAUGCCGCGUGUGUGAAGAAGGUCUUCGGAUCGUAAAGCACUUUCGGCGGGGACGAUGAUGACGGUACCCGCAGAAGAAGCCCCGGCUAACUUCGUGCCAGCAGCCGCGGUAAUACGAAGGGGGCUAGCGUUGCUCGGAAUUACUGGGCGUAAAGGGCGCGUAGGCGGCUUGGCCAGUCAGGCGUGAAAUUCCUGGGCUUAACCUGGGGACUGCGCGUGAUACUGCCAGGCUUGAGGCCGAGAGAGGG
rnacentral:rRNA from 1 species